rnacentral:misc_RNA from 1 species
AAUACAAUAUCAUACAAGCACAAGGUAAAAUUUAUGUUAAAAUCGAAUUGAUUUGUAAGAGGAGUUUGUCGCGCGAUAAAUAUGUUGGUGAAGUAAACCUUAGUCUAGAUUCUCAAAGUCCAAGAUCAUGUAACACUUGUGUAGUGGAUAGGAGUGGUUCAAAUUUUGGGACUUUGAUGUAUUCAAGUGUGCUAAGUGAUAAAUUAAUAGUUAUGGACUCAUCACCAUCAAAGGAUUACAAUAACAAAG